GGUGUUCCAGAGGUGUUCCAUAGGUGUUCCAUAGGUGUUCUCGUGGUGUUCUGUUGUCCCCAGCCCCCACAGCCCACAGAGGGCAAACAAACCCCACUGUCCUUUAAAAAAGAAGCUGUCAGAUGUUCUCCCAGCAGAUGGGUCAGCCUUGCUUGCAGAUGUGGACACUUUUGUUCCCAAGUGAGCUAUGAUGGGGGUGAAUCUUAUCAGCAACUACACUUAUUCAGAAGCUGUGCAUAUCUGUAGCAGGGAAAUAAUCAGGCGAGGAAUCUCAUCUGGAAAGUUCAUGUAUGGCAAUGAGGAGCUCAUCAAAACCCAGCACAGACCUGGCCGACCUGAUGAAAUGCUCAGCCUGCCUCACAGACUCUGCUCUCUAAUGGGGUCUAAAAGACCUGCCCAAUAACUGAUCCCAAAGAGCUGCAGUGUGGACUUUUCUGCUCAAUUACCAAAUGCCACCCAAACCCAAGAAGAAGAAGGAAGAAGAAGCAUGAAGAAGAAACCCAGGAUGACAGAAUCACAGAAUCACAGAAUACUGAGGUUGGAAGAGACCUCUAAGAUCAUGAAGUCCAACCUAAGUCCUAACACCUCAACUAGACUAUAGCACCAAGUGCCAUGUCCAGUCUUUUUUUAAACACAUCCAGAGAUGGUGAUUCCACCACCUCCCUGGGAAGAGCAUUCCAGUACUUUAUUAUUCUUUCGGUGAAUUUUUUUUUCCUAAUAUUCAACCUAUACCUGUGCCCUCCAUCUUGCUUCCGUCCACAACAUACUAAAAAUCCCAAAACCUAAAUCUCACCAAGUGACACACCUACACUACCCUCUAUAAUCUAUUUCACACUUUUGUGGGUUCUAGCCUAUCUUGAAGUCUAGGAAACUUUCUCCAUGGGAUCUCUCGGGAUCUCCUCUGGUCAAGCUGACCCCGAGCUGUAUUUAAAGUCUCUUUUCCCCAACCCAGCUGUCGAAGAAGGAGUCAGAAGUCUUUGGGUGUCGUUCUCAAGGUUGUUUAUUAUUUCUUAUCUAAAACAUUUUCUGUCUGGCCUGCCAAGGUUCAGCAGGUCAGUCCGAGGCACAGUGCCUGCCCCUGGGCUGGUGUUGUCUUUCUAUACUAUAAAUGAUAUGUUUGAUAUUUACAGUUAUGUUCCAAUACCUAUCA